rnacentral:rRNA from 1 species
AACGAACGCUGGCGGCAUGCCUAACACAUGCAAGUCGAGCGAGACCUUCGGGUCUAGUGGCGCACGGGUGCGUAACGCGUGGGAACCUGCCCUUAGGUUCGGCAUAACUCCCCGAAAGGGGUGCUAAUACCGGAUAAUGUCUUCGGACCAAAGAUUUAUCGCCUUUGGAUGGGCCCGCGUUGGAUUAGCUAGUUGGUAGGGUAAAAGCCUACCAAGGCGACGAUCCAUAGCUGGUCUGAGAGGAUGAUCAGCCACACUGGGACUGAGACAUGGCCCAGACUCCUACGGGAGGCAGCAGUGGGGAAUAUUGGACAAUGGGCGAAAGCCUGAUCCAGCAAUGCCGCGUGAGUGAUGAAAGCCUUAGGGUUGUAAAGCUCUUUUACCCGGGAUGAUAAUGACAGUACCGGGAGAAUAAGCUCCGGCUAACUCCGUG